UACGUAGGGAGCAAGCGUUGUCCGGAAUCAUUGGGCGUAAAGCGCGCGUAGGUGGCCAUUUAAGUCCGCUGUGAAAGUCAAAGGCUCAACCUUUGAAAGCCGGUGGAUACUGGGUGGCUAGAGUACGGAAGAGGCGAGUGGAAUUCCUGGUGUAGCGGUGAAAUGCGUAGAUAUCGGGAGGAACACCUGUGGCGAAAGCGGCGCACUGGACCAUAACUGACGCUGAUGCGCGAAAGCUAGGGGAGCAAACAGG
rnacentral:rRNA from 1 species